rnacentral:rRNA from 1 species
UGGGGAAUAUCGGGCAAUGGGCGCAAGCCUGACCCAGCAAUGCCGCGUGAAGGAAGAAGGCCCUCGGGUUGUAAACUUCUUUUAUCAGGGACGAAGGAUGUGACGGUACCUGAUGAAUAAGCUCCGGCUAACUACGUGCCAGCAGCCGCGGUAAUACGUAGGGGGCAAGCGUUAUCCGGAUUUACUGGGUGUAAAGGGCGCGUAGGCGGGAUGGCAAGUCAGAUGUGAAAUCCAAGGGCUCAACCCUUGAACUGCAUUUGAAACUGUCGUUCUUGAGUACUGGAGAGGUUGACGGAAUUCCUAGUGUAGCGGUGAAAUGCGUAGAUAUUAGGAGGAACACCAGUGGCGAAGGCGGUCAACUGGACAGCAACUGACGCUGAGGCGCGAAAGCGUGGGGAGCAAACAGGAUUAGAUACCC